rnacentral:rRNA from 1 species
AGAUUGAACGCUGGCGGCAUGCUUUACACAUGCAAGUCGAACGGCAGCACGGGGGCAACCCUGGUGGCGAGUGGCGAACGGGUGAGUAAUAUAUCGGAACGUACCCGGAAAUGGGGGAUAACGUAGCGAAAGUUACGCUAAUACCGCAUAUGCCCUGAGGGGGAAAGCGGGGGAUUCGUAAGAACCUCGCGUUUUCGGAGCGGCCGAUAUCGGAUUAGCUAGUAGGUGAGGUAACGGCUCACCAAGGCGACGACGGGUAGC